rnacentral:rRNA from 1 species
UUGAANUGGGGGCACCCUGAUCCAGCGACGCCGCGUGUGUGAAGAAGGCCUGCGGGUUGUAAAGCACUUUUAGUGGGGAUGAAAAGCUCAGGGCUAAUACCUCUGGGUCUUGACCUAACCCACAGAAAAAGCACCGGCUAACUCUGUGCCAGCAGCCGCGGUAAUACAGAGGGUGCAAGCGUUAAUCGGAAUUACUGGGCGUAAAGCGUACGUAGACGGUUGUGUAAGUCGGAUGUGAAAGCCCCGGGCUCAACCUGGGAAUUGCAUUCGAGACUGCACAGCUAGGGUGCGGAAGAGGGAAGCGGAAUUCCCAGUGUAGCGGUGAAAUGCGUAGAUAUUGGGAGGAACACCAGUGGCGAAAGCGGCUUCCUGGUCCAGCACCGACGUUCAGGUACGAAAGCAUGGGGAGCAAACAGGAUUAGAUACCCUGGUAGUCCAUGCCAUAAACGAUGAGGACUAGACGUUGAAAGGGUAAGCCUUCCAGUGUCGUAGCUAACGCGCUAAGUCCUCCGCCUGGGGAGUACGGCCGCAAGGUUGAAACUCAAAAGAAUUGACGGA